rnacentral:tRNA from 1 species
GCGGCUGUCGUCAAGCGGUUAAGACAUAGGAUUGUGGCUCCUAUAUGCGUGGGUUCGAAUCCCAUCAGCCGCCCCA